CACGUGUUGGUACAGGAGAAGUCAGCAGAGGUCAUAGUACCUAAGGGAAACGAGUUGCAGCGAAAAUGCAUAGGUCUCACAAUUAGGGAAGGAC
rfam:Leeuwenhoekiella marinoflava DSM 3653 genome assembly, contig: EJ63DRAFT_scaffold00008.8